rnacentral:lncRNA from 1 species
AAAAGGAGAAGGUUCUAUGAAAAUAUAUAAUGGGGAAUCUGACUUAGUCUGACCUAAUCUUUAAGUCCUUGAAGAGGUGACACUUGGUUUCCAUCAUUGAAGGAAGAGUAUGAGUUAACUGGGCAGUGGAGGGUCGGGGAGGCAGUUAUGGUUGGAAAAGAUAUCAUAGGCAGACGGAAGAGUAUUUGAAGGCCCCAGCAGGAAUGAGAUGAUGAGCUUGAUUCCGUCACGCUUGGCAGAGUAACAUACAGCAGGCUAUCAGUUGGGAGAUGCGUUGGUCAGUUGAGGGAUGGGUGGAGUAGGGCAUUUAUUUUGGUUUAUGGACCAGAUGGCAGAGAGGAAGAAGCUAGCCCUCCCAACACAGUGAUAUCAGUAUCUGCAUGAUGAUGUCCACAUCAUCAGGUUGUUGACUUUGCAUUGAAUUUAGAUUGAUCUGGCAACAUGCUCCUCCCUUACUACAUGUUGACCCCAAGUUUUUUUACUCAUCCUAUCCUGGGAAACACCCUAGGGGUAGGAGCUGAGGUCAAGAGCUCCUUGGGUGUGGGCUUUCCUGUGGCUGCCUGAUUCACAAUGUCCUAGCAUGAGUCCCAGCUGCCUCCAGGAAUGGACAGAACAAAAAGUGACAAGCAUGUGAAUGCCAGGGAUGCCAGUGGCUCUGGAGUGCUGCUGAGCAGAGCUGUUAAAUCCUGGGGUGCCCUGCCCCUCAUCUUCCAAGCUUGGACACACAUGUCUAAGCUUACAAGUCCUCCAAGACGUGAUUGCCCUAUUUGCCACCCCCUCUGAGAAAAGCAGGAUGGAAAUCUGUAGUGCAAAAGGGAAAAUAGGCCCAGAAGCUUAAGAGAGCCUUACUAUUGACAGAACAAGAGGUCAAACAUCUCUCUGUUUCCUAGGCCUCUCCACCAUGAGACUCAACUUCUUGGGAGGUAUUUAAAGAGACCUGGGCUCAGAAAGAGGGUGAAUACAUUUUACAGAACUCUAGGGUUUAAUGUUUAUGUUGAAUAGAAUGAUAAAGAAUCUGGCCUAAGAGGUAAAUAAAUAAUCAUUAUUUAUUUUUGCUUCCCUUGGAGCAUUCCAUGGGCCAUAAACAUUACCAGGCUCUGUGCUUGCUGCUGGGGCACAGAUAUAGAUAAUAAGACCCCAGUGACCCCCUAAAGGAAUGCUUGAUGGCAUUUCUUGGCUGCCUCAGCAUUUCAUUAUACCCAUCCUCCUUCCCAUGUCCCACACUUGGUAUCUCAUGUCACCAAAGGCUUUGACUACUAGUAACUACUAGUUGUCAUCUUGACAUAUAAGAUGAUUGGGAAUAGAGGAGACAGGAAAUAUUGAAUUUGAUCAACAAGUUGGGUCAAUAACCAAGUAAUUAGGGUUUAAAGGGGAUUGGAUAGUUCAGGAAGAAUAUAGAUAGGAGGUGUCUGUUCUAAAGGAUAGCUUAAAAGGCAAACAAAAAUUCUGAAAUUCAAGUUUAAACUUUAGAAAAUGGAAAACCUCUUCUCUCUAAACUACGUUUCCUCUCUCUUUAAAAAUGAAAUAUUUCAAGCAUACAGAAAAAAAAGGGUAAUAUAAUUAGUAUUGUUCUAUUUGAUAGAAACGUUAAACCUUUAGGGUUUUGUACAUAACUUCCAUUGAUUUUCACCUCCUGUCAUUGUAUAUUUUCCUCCCACAUUGACUAGGACUGACAUGUAACAAAUAGGAUACUGUAGGAAUGACAGAGUGUGACUUUUGAGGUUAGGUCAUAAGACAGUUCAGGUUCCUACUUGCCCUGUCUUGGAUCACUCACUGUGGGGGAAGCCUGCCCCCAUGUCACAAGGACACUCAAGCAGCCCUAUGGAGAGGUCCAUGUGGUGAAGAACUAAGGCCACCUGCCAACAACCAACACUAACUUGCUAAGCAUGUGUGUGAACCACCUUGGAGGUGAAUCCCCUAGCCCCCAUCAAGCAUUCGGAUAACUGCAGCUUCAGUCAACGUCUUGACUGUAACCUUAUGAGAAACUCCAGGACAGAACCAUCCAGAUAAACUGCUCCUGAAUUCCUGACCCUCAGAAACUGCAUGAG